GGGGAAUUUCAGUCUGGUUGUGGGGAUACAGUGACCAGGUUAUGAUGGAUUUCUCAAGUGACAACCUCACAGCUUGGUCACCUUAUCCAGAUAACACAGAGAGCAACUUCCUUUUUCCUUCCCCUC
rnacentral:miRNA from 1 species